GUCAGUGACUUGCUUUCAGGGUGCCUGCUUGGGCUAAGAGGCUCUGCUUGGUGGGCCCUACCUUUGAUUGUUCAUCUGCCUCAGGUACAAGCAGUCAGUUCUCAGCAGGGGCUGAUCGGGCCACCUCUCCUCUUGUGUCCCUCUACCCUGCUCUGGAGUGCCGGGCCCUCAUCCAGCAGAUGUCCCCCUCUGCCUUUGGUCUGAAUGAUUGGGAUGAUGAUGAGAUCCUAGCAUCGGUGCUGGCAGUGUCCCAACAGGAAUACCUAGACAGUAUGAAGAAAAACAAAGUGCACAGAGACCCACCCCCAGACAAGAGUUGAUGGAGACCCAGGGACUGGACACCAUCCCCGAUCCCCCACUCCUGCCCUUUAAUGCCACCCAAACUUCUUUGGCUUUCUUCCCUCUUGGCUUCCUUCCUUUGUUUCCUCUUUUCCUUCUUUUCCACUUCCCUCUGGCUGGCCCACCCAUGCGCUCCAUCCAUCUCAUCCCUGCCACCACCAUUGGUCUCUGCCAGCUGAUGUGCCCUAUUGCCCCCCUGCACAGCACCAUCUCAGCAUUCCACAGGGGACUCUGGACAGGGUGCGGAAGGUAGGCAAGAGACCCACAGAGACAGACCAUCUGGCAGCCAGGCAGCCCCAGAAGAGAGACAUUCAGACAAAGGAAGUCUUCUGCUCGUCCUUCCUUAAAGAUCAGAUAAACUUGUCACCCAACAAUGAUGACAAGAAAAGUGGGAGUGGGAAAUUUUCCUUC
rnacentral:lncRNA from 1 species